UAGCUAGUUGGUAGGGUAAAGGCCUACCAAGGCGACGAUCGGUAGCUGGUCUGAGAGGAUGAUCAGCCACACUGGGACUGAGGCACGGCCCAGACUCCUACGGGAGGCAGCAGUGGGGAAUAUUGGACAAUGGGGGCAACCCUGAUCCAGCAAUACCGCGUGUGUGAAGAAGGCCUGAGGGUUGUAAAGCACUUUCAGUGGGGAGGAGGAUUGCCAGGUUAAGAGCUAGGUAAUUGGACGUUACCCACAGAAGAAGCACCGGCUAACUCCGUGCCAGCAGCCGCGGUAAUACGGGGGGUGCGAGCGUUAAUCGGAAUUACUGGGCGUAAAGGGUGCGUAGGUGGUUAGAUAAGUUAGCUGUGAAAUUCCUGGGCUCAACCUGGGACGGUCAGCUAAGACUGUUUGACUCGAGUAUGGGAGAGGGUAGUGGAAUUUCCGGUGUAGCGGUGAAAUGCGUAGAGAUCGGAAGGAACACCAGUGGCGAAGGCGGCUACCUGGCCUGAUACUGACGCUGAAGCACGAAAGCGUGGGGAGCAAACAGGAUUAGAUACCCUGGUAGUCCACGCUGUAAACGAUGUCAACUAGCCGUUGGUCAUAUGAAUAUGAUUAGUGGCGC
rnacentral:rRNA from 1 species